GAAAUUGACUAAAUGAGAUUGGGGGUUAGGCCAAUUUAAGUUAAUUUUGGACCAAUUUUAAGAGAUUGUGACGGGCAACGACUAUAUAGGUGUUGUAGAAGAGACAUUUGCGCAUCGUUUAGGAAAAUCUCCAGAGUGGUUUAUGUUCGAAAAUCUGAAGUUACGGUUAAAAAACUGAAAAUUUUAUUGUGAAAUUGACAAAAUGAGAUUAGGGGGGUAGGCCAAUUUAAGUUAAUUUUGGACCAAUUUCAAGAGAUUGUGACGGGCAACGAUUACAUAGGUGUUGUAGAGGAGACAUUUGCGCAUCGUUUAAGAAAAUCUCCAGAGUGGUUUAUGUUCGAAAAUCUGAAGUUCCGGUUAAAAAACUGAAAAUUUUAUUGUGAAAUUGACAAAAUGAGAUUAGGGGGGUAGGGCACUAAAAAAAAAAUUUGGACCAUUUUAAAGAGAUUGUGACGGGCAACGACUAUAUAGGUGUUGUAGAGGAGACAUUGGCGCAUCGUUUAAGAAAAUCUCCUGAGUGGUUUAUGUUCGAAAAUCUGAAGUUACGGUUAAAAAACUGAAAAUGUUAUUGUGAAAUUGACAAAAUGAGAUUAAAACGGUAGGGCACUAAAAGAAAAAAUUGGACCAUUUUAAAGAGAUUAUGACGGGCAACGACUAUAUAGGUGUUGUAGAGGAGACAUUGGCGCAUCGUUUAUGAAAAUCUCCUGAGUGGUUUAUGUUCGAAAAUCUGAAGUUACGGUUAAAAAACUGAAAAUUUUAAUGUGAAAUUGACAGAAUGAGAUUAAGGGGGUAGGGCACUAAAAGAAAAAUUUGGACCAUUUUAAAGAGAUUGUGACGGGCAACGACUAUAUAGGUGUUGAAGAGGAGACAUUGGCGCAUCGUUUAAGAAAAUCUCCAGAGUAGUUCAUGUUCGAAAAUCUGAAGUUACGGUAAAAAAACUGAAAUUGUGAAAUUCACAAAAUGAGAUUAGGGGGCAGGCCAAUUUAAGUUAAUUUUGGACCAAUUUAAGAGAUUGUGACGGGCAACGACUAUACAGGUUUUGUAAAGGAGACAUUGGCGCAUCGUUUAAGAAAAUCUCCAGAGUAGUUUAUGUUCGAAAAUCUGAAGUUACGGUUAAAAAACUGAAAAUUUUAUUGUGAAAUUGACAAAAUGAGAUUAGGGGGGUAGGGCACUAAAAGAAAAAUUUAGACCAUUUUAAAGAGAUUGUGACGGGCAACGACUAUAUAGGUGUUGAAGAGGAGACAUUGGCGCAUCGUUUAAGAAAAUCUCCAGAGUAGUUUAUGUUCGAAAAUCUGAAGUUACGGUAAAAAACUGAAAUUGUGAAAUUCACAAAAUGAGAUUAGGGGGCAGGCCAAUUUAAGUUAAUUUUGGACCAAUUUAAGAGAUUGUGACGGGCAACGACUAUACAGGUUUUGUAAAGGAGACAUUGGCGCAUUGUUUAAGAAAAUCUCCAGAGUAGUUUAUGUUCGAAAAUCUGAAGUUACGGUUAAAAAACUGAAAAUUUUAUUGUGAAAUUGACAAAAUGAGAUUAGGGGGGUAGGGCACUAAAAGAAAAAUUUGGACCAUUUUAAAGAGAUUGUGACGGGCAACGACUAUAUAGGUGUUGUAGAAGAGACAUUGGCGCAUCGUUUACGAAAAUCUCCAGAGUGGUUUAUGUUCGAAAAUCUGAAGUUACGGUUAAAAAACUGAAAAUUUUAUUGUGUAAUUGACAAAAUGAGAUUAGGGGGGUAGGGCAAUUCAAGUUAAUUUUGGACCUAUUUCAAGAGAUUGU